rnacentral:rRNA from 1 species
UACGUAGGGUGCGAGCGUUAAUCGGAAUUACUGGGCGUAAAGCGUGCGCAGGCGGUUAUGUAAGACAGGUGUGAAAUCCCCGGGCUCAACCUGGGAACUGCAUUUGUGACUGCACGGCUAGGGUGUGUCAGAGGGGGGUAGAAUUCCACGUGUAGCAGUGAAAUGCGUAGAGAUGUGGAGGAACACCGAUGGCGAAGGCAGCCCCCUGGGAUAACACUGACGCUCAUGCACGAAAGCGUGGGGAGCAAACAGGAUUAGAUACCCCGGUAGU